rnacentral:lncRNA from 1 species
CCUCUUCCCCUUACACGUAGGUGACCAAGAAAUUAGCGACUGACAUGAGCGACUAGUCACAGGCUCAAGAGCAACGGUGAUGGGUGUGAGCGGCUAGAGGCGGUGGCCUCGAGAGUGCUAGAUCCACCAUCCUCAGCCUCUAGAUAGUUUUUUUACUCUUUUUUUUUUUACUUUUUUUUUAUAAACCUAGCAAAUCACGGGCUGCCUGUCUCCACGGCAGAGCAGCGGUGAGAGGGGGCGGCGGCAGCCGGGGCGGGGGGGGGGGGGGGGGGGGGGGGGCGCCCCCAGCCGAGCAGGCGGGGCGGAGAGGCGCCGACGGAGCAACGGAGAGGCGCCAGCGAGGACAAAGAGGUGCUGACGACUCGGCGACAACGACGAUGACAAUGAAUCGGCAACGACGAACGGUAUGGUAAGAAAGAAAAACCCUAGUUUUUUUUGCUCUGAUACCAUGUUAUGAAUACCGGUUAUAUUCGUUAUAGGGGCACUAGGCCCAAAUAUAUACAGGUACAGGUGUGGGAAAAUAUGCAUAAAAACCCCUUAUACAAUAGGGAAAAUACAAGAAUACAUAUAUAUCUCUAACAGGCUAAACCGCUGCCCCUGGGCAUAGCAAUGGCGACGACGAUGGCACAGUCCUCGAGAGGGUGGCUAGCGAUAGGAGGUGCGGAUCUGCCACUAUGACAACAUAGAGGUCUGGUUUCAGCGCCCCUAAUGCAGAUCGGAGGUGAGGAUAUGACGAUGGAAGGAGUGGAUCAGGCACUGGCGACUUCCUGAAGGCACGGGGUAGAUCCAACGGUGACCAGCCACAUGGUCGAGCCAUGAACCAAUGGAGUAGAGUCUCGAGGGCAACCUCGUGGCUCCGGAUUUGCGCAUUACAAGGGUUAAGAUUGCAAUAACAAUAGCAGUAGACUGAGACGAUGACAAUCGGAGCUAAGGUACUGGGAACUAUUUUUGGAAUUUUUAUUUUCAUUUUUGUCCAAAAAUAGUGCAAACGAGCAUCUUACUGCACUUGCAUGAGAAAAUCUGUUUUCACAUGCGGUUUCAAGGCCUACUUGUGAAAAACCUUAUUUUUACAAGUACAUUGGCUAGUUGGGUGUUCUAUCCGUCUAUAAAAGGCAAAUUACACUCGAC